GACGAACGCUGGCGGCGUGCUUAACACAUGCAAGUCGAACGGAAAGGCCCUGCUUUUGCGGGGUGCUCGAGUGGCGAACGGGUGAGUAACACGUGAGUAACCUGCCCUUGACUUUGGGAUAACUUCAGGAGACUGGGGCUAAUACCGGAUAGGAGCUCCUGCUGCAUGGUGGGGGUUGGAAAGUUUCGGCGGUUGGGGAUGGACUCGCGGCUUAUCAGCUUGUUGGUGGGGUAGUGGCUUACCAAGGGUUUGACGGGUAGCCGGCCUGAGAGGGUGACCGGCAACAUUGGGACUGAGAUACGGCCCAGACUCCUACGGGAGGCAGCAGUGGGGAAUAUUGCACAAUGGGCGGAAGCCUGAUGCAGCAACGCCGCGUGCGGGAUGACGGCCUUCGGGUUGUAAACCGCUUUCGCCUGUGACGAAGCGUGAGUGACGGUAAUGGGUAAAGAAGCACCGGCUAACUACGUG
rnacentral:rRNA from 1 species